AUGCCCGAGAGCGCGAGCGUCGCCGCCGGCGACUGGCCGGCCGGAGCAGAGGCGAAUGCCGCCAACGCGGGGGACCGCCAGGAGUCGAGCGCAGCACCGCGGUCGGUGCGGCCGGCGACGCCCCAGCCGCCAGCACGGCGCCGCCGGGGAGGGGCCCGAGACCCCAAGGCGUCCUCUUUCGAUCCAGGAGACGGCAGCGCGCCCGACGGCCGCCGGUGGCGCCGAUCGGUCCCGCGGGAGGCCGAACUCCCACCCCUGGGAGUCGGGCCGCCGGCAGGGACGGAUGGAGGCGGCCGGACCGGAGCGCGGGGCGGGAUGCGGUCGCGGCAGGCGAUGGGGCGGCCCACAGCCACAUCGACAGCUUCAGCGAGGUCCGCCCAGGACUCGCGCGGAGGAACAGCCGGAGGAGACGGCGGGGAAUCGGGCGAGGGGGGCGCCGGCGGGCCGACCGCGGGCGAGGCCAGGAGUCGAGCGCAGCACCGCGGUCGGUGCGGCCGGCGACGCCCCAGCCGCCAACACGGCGCCGCCCGGGAGGGGCCCGAGACCCCAAGGCGUCCCCUUUCGAUCCAGGAGAUGGCAGCGCGCCCGACGGCCGCCGGUGGCGCCGAUCGGUCCCGCGGGAGGCCGAACUCCCACCCCUGGGAGUCGGGCCGCCGGCAGGGACGGAUGGAGGCGGCCGGACCGGAGCGCGGGGCGGGAUGCGGUCGCGGCAGGCGAUGGGGCGGCCCACAGCCACAUCGGCAGCUUCGGCGAGGUCCGCCCAGGACUCGCGCGGAAGAACAGCCGGAGGAGACGGCGGGCAAUCGGGCGAGGGGGGCACCGGCGGGCCGACCGCGGGCGAGGCCAGGGGCGAGGGCGGCGGCGGCGGCAUCGCCGAGCCGACCAGGGCGUCGCCAGAGCCAGCGUACGCGAGAGCCAUCACCUCAGCUCCUCGUGCUGAAUUUAUCAUGUCUUCCUCGGUGA
rnacentral:rRNA from 1 species